rnacentral:tRNA from 1 species
GCGCCCAUAGCUCAGCUGGAUAGAGCAUCCGCCUUCUAAGCGGACGGUCGAGGGUUCGAAUCCUUCUGGGCGCGCCA